rnacentral:lncRNA from 1 species
UUUGAUAUGAUUAUAGUUGAUAUGUACCGGGGGUAGCCUAAUGGUCACAGUAUGGUACAGUAUUGAUUAUUGUUAGGUGGUUGGAGGUUCGGGAGGAGGAGGUAAUGGCGAAUGAUAAUUGUAAAGAAUGAAAUGAACGAAUGUAUACCGUUCCACAAAUGUGUUUGAAUUCAAGAACCCAAUUCAGAUUAAUGAUAAGAUAAUGUACAUGAUCCUAAAAGUGUUUAUGAAGUGUGGUUCACUUCUAUUAUGAUUUAUUCACUUGCGUCUGAUUUUCUUGAUCCCCCAUACCAUAUAUGAUUAUUUACAGCUUUACAUACUCAGUACAUAUUUCGUACUGAUGUCCCUCACGGGGACCUGCAUUUCAUGCUGCAGGCACAGGUGCUUCAGCUCAUUCACAGCAUAGAUAGGAGCCAGGUCAUACAGCUAUUGUUGGUGAGCUCUAGUUUGCUUCGGAGCUUUCCGAGUCGGUCCCUUAUGUUUUGUUAUUGUACAGGAGUCAUGUGUGGGCGGGGGUUUGUCCUGACCCAAGUUAUGUCAUGUAUAUCCUAGAGGCUUUGUAGACAUAAGGAAGGGUAAAGUCAUGGAAGUUUAUAUAGUGAUGUUAUAUUUGUAUAUGUGAUGGCCCCGACGGCCAAGUAUUAUA